rnacentral:lncRNA from 1 species
CCCGCAUCCAUCGCAUCCACCGCCGCGGCCGCAUCCAUCGCAUCCACCGCCGUCGCCCAUCCCCGUCCUCCCCCACCGCGUCGCCGACACAGCGCCGCCAUUGCCGUCGCUCCCCCACCGCGUCGCUCCCCCACCACGCCGCCGACCCCAGCGCCGCCAUCGCCGUCGCUCCCCCACCACGCCGUCAACCCCAGUGCCGCCAUCGCCGACCUCCUCCACCGCGUCGCCCAUCGCCGUCCUCCCCCACCGCGUCGCCGACACAGCGACAGCGGGAACGAGACUACGAGAGGUAUCGUUGGUCUGGCCAUUAUUACCAUGCACCCGCUCAAAAUAGCAUGUCUGAUCUGGGGCCUGGGUGCAUAUCCAAGUCACUAUCGAUCGCCUGCUGUCCGGUCUCCGUCGCCCCUUCAUCAGGUUGACGUCGAUGCGUCGCCAACGCUGCGCCUUGCUGCAGUACACUCUGGUAUUGUAGCCCAUCCUCUUUCACGUUUAUACAUUCUCUCUUUGAAGUUGAAGGAAAGUAAAUUACAAUUUUCUGUCUAUACGUUGCAUUUUUCCUUAGAGAUGGUAUAUGCUGCUUUAUUUCCUAUAGGGGUAUAUACUGAAUUUUAUACAGCAGUAUAUGCUGUAAUUUUCCAUAGAGGUAUGUACUGACAUUAUAGUAUACAUAUGCUUCUAUUUUCCAUAGGGAGGUAUGUAAUGAUAUUACAGUAUAUGCUAAAUUUUCUAUGGAGAUACUAGGAUUUGGGAAAAUCGGUGACACACAGGUAUUUCAUUAAGCGCCUCAUGAUCUGGUUUGGUCUGCUUAUGAUAUCAGCAGGGAAUCACUAAUUUAUAAGAGCUUGGUGGUGUUACUAAUUUAACUGCACAUGUGUAACACCCUAAAAAGAAAAAAAAGAAGAAAAAGCUAGCUAGCAGCCAGCCCAGCAGCAGCAGGCCAUGGGCCUUGGCCCAUGCAUGCACGCGUGCAGCAAGCAAGCGAGCAGUAGCGGCAGCUUGUAGCCAGCUUAGUACCACCUCGGCUAGCUAGCUCUAUCUACACUAGCUUAAAUAGGAGAUAUUACCGGUGACUGUAAACUCCGAUUCCGGAAUUUUUGCGACCAAUGCCGUUUUCGGGCCCUGGGCUGUCACAACAUGUUAUGUCCUUUUUGUAUUUAUUGGGAUCAAUUGUUUCCGGUAUGCAAGGUUUAUGGUUCUUUAGGGUGCUGAGAUAUUGUACACCCCAUGAUAAUUUGCCCAGACUUCCAUGAACACUGGAGGUGUGUCAUGCAAGGCCAUGUUGGUGC